rnacentral:rRNA from 1 species
UACGUAGGGGGCAAGCGUUGUCCGGAAUCAUUGGGCGUAAAGCGCGUGUAGGCGGCUGGGUAAGUCCGCUCUGAAAGCCCGGGGCUCAACCCCGGGAGGCGGGUGGAUGCUGCUCAGCUCGAGUCCGGAAGAGGAGUGUGGAAUUCCUGGUGUAGCGGUGAAAUGCGCAGAUAUCAGGAGGAACACCAAUGGCGAAGGCAGCACUCUGGGACGGUACUGACGCUGAGACGCGAAAAGCGUGGGGGAGCAAAACAGG